ACAAGCGGUGGAGCAUGUGGUUUAAUUCGAUGAUACGCGAGGAACCUUACCUGGGCUUAAAUGUAGAGUGCAUGAUGUGGAAACAUGUCUUCCCUUCGGGGCUCUCUGCAAGGUGCUGCAUGGUUGUCGUCAGCUCGUGCCGUGAGGUGUCGGGUUAAGUCCCAUAACGAGCGCAACCCUUAUCGUUAGUUGCCAGCGGGUAAUGCCGGGAACUCUAACGAAACUGCCGGUGUAAACCGAGAGGAAGGUGGGAUGACGUCAAAUCAGCACGGCCCUUAUGUCCAGGGCUACACACGUGUUACAAUGGCCGGUACAGAGGGCAGCUACCUGGAGACAGGAUGCGAAUCUCGAAAGCCGGUCUCAGUUCGGAUCGGAGUCUGCAACUCGACUCCGUGAAGCUGGAUUCGCUAGUAAUCGCGCAUCAGCCAUGGCCGCGGUCCGAAUACGUUCCGGCCUU
rnacentral:rRNA from 1 species